rnacentral:rRNA from 1 species
UACGAAGGGGGCUAGCGUUGCUCGGAAUCACUGGGCGUAAAGGGUGCGUAGGCGGGUCUUUAAGUCAGGGGUGAAAUCCUGGAGCUCAACUCCAGAACUGCCUUUGAUACUGAGGAUCUUGAGUACGGGAGAGGUGAGUGGAACUGCGAGUGUAGAGGUGAAAUUCGUAGAUAUUCGGAAGAACACCAGUGGCGAAGGCGGCUCACUGGUCCGGUACUGACGCUGAGGUGCGAAAGCGUGGGGAGCAAACAGG